rnacentral:rRNA from 1 species
AACGAACGCUGGCGGCAGGCCUAACACAUGCAAGUCGAGCGAGAUCUUCGGGUCUAGCGGCGGACGGGUGAGUAACGCGUGGGAAUAUGCCUCUUGGUACGGAAUAGCCUCGGGAAACUGGGAGUAAUACCGUAUGUGCCCUUUGGGGGAAAGAUUUAUCGCCAAGAGAUUAGCCCGCGUUGGAUUAGGUAGUUGGUGGGGUAAUGGCCUACCAAGCCGACGAUCCAUAGCUGGUUUGAGAGGAUGAUCAGCCACACUGGGACUGAGACACGGCCCAGACUCCUACGGGAGGCAGCAGUGGGGAGUCUUAGACAAUGGGGGCAACCCUGAUCUAGCCAUGCCGCGUGAGUGAUGAAGGCCUUAGGGUUGUAAAGCUCUUUCAGCUGGGAAGAUAAUGACGGUACCAGCAGAAGAAGCCCCGGCUAACUCCGUG